UCCAAAAGUCUUUAAAAUACAUAUAUUAUAAAUUAUGAAUUUCACUAAGAUUUUAGCAGUGACAUCUUUUGUUAUAAUGAUUUUUGUAGCAAAUAGUAAUGUGAAUGGUAAGAUAAACUUGUCUUGUGCAGCAAAAUGUGCAAAGACAUGUUUCUUCCAUCCUUCUUGCGCAAAACCUUGCUUUAAGGAAUGUCUUCAUUGUGAAGAAUUCAAUUGUAAGCUUGCUUGUUCAAUGGAACAUCGUUCUAAAUUUAAAGAAGAUAAUGAGCUACUGGAAAACUGCUGGAAUGAAUGUUCAACAGAAGAUCACACCUAAUUAGAAAGGCAUGUACUAUAUAUUAUGCUACUUGUUUAGCAAAAGCAAACUAGAAAAGAAACUUGAUGAGCCAAAUGUAACCAAGAUGAUGGUGUUAAUAAAGUGCUGUUUUUAAA